AAGGAGGUUCCAAUCAAUGGGACAUUAUGGCCAGGGUGAAAUGCAGAGGUAACUUUGAUAAUUAAAAGUUGGUGCAGUGCUUUGAGAGUUGUUUUUCUGUUCCUAUAUUUAGCCAUGAUACUUUAGACAAAAGAAUGCUCUAUUUUGAACUUGAGUUGCAAUUUUGGAUCAAACAUCUCAUAGUGACAUAAGUAAUGUUUAUAGUUUCUACAACUGUUGAGCAUUCUCCUAAAUACUUUUUUUCUUUUUUAGUCAAAACUUGUAUCAGUGAGAUGUCUGUUCAAAAAGUAUUAACUUUUAACUAAAAGUUACUUUAUUGUUGCUAUGUUGCUUACUGUAAUUAUUUUUAAUGGAUUGUUUUGCUGUUGUCUCUAUUAGAUAUGCUAGUAUUUCUCUUUGCUGUGUUUUGGGUAAAUCUGUUAAAAAAUUUUCCAUGGCUCAUUAUAAAGGGUCACUUGCUCAGAUCUUCUCUCUGUUCUCUCUUUUCAACGAUGCUUUCAAUUAAAGAUUUUUAAAUAAGAAACAUUUAUGUUUAACAUUCUCUUUUACAUUGUGCAAUUCAAUCUGUUCACAAUUUCCUUUAGCUCUUGCAAGUUAAUAUUUAAUAGCUGUGAUUAAUCCCACUUGCUUCUCUUCAGCUUUUCUGCUCAAAAGCAAAAUAAUUAUCUUGCAGUUGCUGUUGGAUGCUUUGUGAGAAGAAUUAGGGAUGGAUUUGUACUUUCUGGCAUGCUAUACUCAAAUUAUAAUCCAUAGUUUAGGAUUAGGAGUUAAUAAACAAAUUAUUCACCUCUUAUAUGCAGUAAUUAAGUGUGCUCUUUACUUCUGUUGAACCUUUAUAGAAUGCGCAAGCAAUGAUAACGACUGGAAAACUUCUGUCUGCAAGU
rnacentral:misc_RNA from 1 species